GGACGUGUAUAUGAAGAUAUACACGUUCAAAUAUACACCAUCCACUAGAGAUGCUCAACCUCUCAUUUAUUAAUUAACAUGGAGUGUUGGAGGGAGUGUCACAUCUUGCAGCAACUCCGCCAGCAAUCAACUGCCUAGGCCAGCUGGCAUAUGUGCUAUAUGUAUCCAAGAAUGGCAUCUGAUUUAACCUGACCAGCGACCGCUCCCACAACCAUAUCACUGCCCAACCUGUCAGCUACUUGUGCUCAUCUAUGUUCUUUGCAACACUAUAACACACUGCCCUGUUCUGAAUGGAGAUUCCAAUUUAGUGUAUCGAUCCUACAUGCUUUAACCCCCCUUGAUGUGUUCACUCAAUGUUGUUGUAUUCAGAGAUGUUCCAUAUUCUUUUGGUAGGAAUUAUAAGCUCUAAACACAUAAUUAUUCAACCCGCAAGACUUUUUUGCUUUGGGUUUCAGAAAACUAUACAAACAUAUUGUAGGAUAGCAACAUCUUUACUAUAGUACAUGUGUGCAUGAUAAUCUUCUUCUUGGUGGCAUGAUUAGAAUUAUGCUAAUUAUCUUGCUUUGUACUAGGGGUAAAUAGGCCAGACUAAAAGGUACAAUACUAAUGGCGAACAACAAGAUAUUGACCUGAUGUGUAAUAGUUGCAACUGACCAACUCAAACGAAUACUAAAAGCAUCUCUAGCAGAUCCCGCAUUUCUGUGAAAACUGUAAAAUAACCGCC
rnacentral:lncRNA from 1 species